rnacentral:lncRNA from 1 species
CACGGCUGCUUUCACGACAUCUGUUCUCUGUGGACUUAUCGUGGUCGCCUGACUUGUUAUCUACAUAAAAUGGAAGAUGUCCUGGCUGGCGGCUUUAACGACCUAUCUUCUCUGUCGACCAAGCCUGGCGGUCGUCCUUGGAGUCGAACCGAGACCGCCAGGCAGGUCUCGUUUUGCCAAAGGACGAGGCAUUCAAGUCCUGGUACGGGUUGAAAUGGCCUGCUAAAGAAUGAUGCACAAGUGGCGUACAGAAUUCUCGAAGGGUAUCUGGGUGAUGUCGACGUGGAAGGAAGCGGAAAAUGCACAGGGCAUAAAAAACCAUUGCGCGAAUGGGUGUGUACAGAUGAAGUCGAUCGCAA